AUGCGUGUGAGUGUUACUCUGAAAGAGUGAGAACGAAGACAAACGGGACCAGAUAUCAGUGAUGGGUGAAUCUGCGUUAAAGUAACAGCUCCUGGCUUGCCACUGGGCCCUGGAGGAGACAGCUGGCCAUGGGACACCAAGUGACCAGAUACCUGAUAUUUGCCAUUCAUGAGCUGGUUGUUAUUUGAUCCACUCGGCCAUAAAAUUGGAAAUUCCAAGAAGUGCUCGACCAUUACAGAAAGAUGAUAUAUUGAUCUAUACAGGCCCAUGCCUAACAGUUCCUGAAGGAAACAUUCAGAUUUCUUCAUGGAUGUUUGCUGCAGCCUAAAAAUUCAACAUCAGGAAAGUGUUUAAAGAAACGUCCCACAAUGAGGAACAGAAGGAAAAUGAUUCAAGGAAAGAACUGUUGUGCAGCCAUUUGGAGCAACGUGGCAGAAGAAAAUGUGAAGUCAUGACAAACGUUCGUGAUCACUAUGAGAAAAAAGCAAGUUACAAAGGAGUUUGGACUGUAUGGUCCCAAUUUUGCUUAAAUAUAUAUAUAAAAUGUUAAAAGGACAUGCGGCCUUUCAAAAUAAUACUUGUGAUCAUCUUUGGGUGAUGUGAUGAUUCUUAGUUCUUCUUUGUUUCUUUUCUGCUUCCCUAUAAUUUU